rnacentral:rRNA from 1 species
GACGAACGCUGGCGGCGUGCCUAAUACAUGCAAGUAGAACGCUGAAGGAGGAGCUUGCUCUUCUGGAUGAGUUGCGAACGGGUGAGUAACGCGUAGGUAACCUGCCUGGUAGCGGGGGAUAACUAUUGGAAACGAUAGCUAAUACCGCAUAACAGUAGAUGUUGCAUGACAUUUGCUUAAAAGGUGCAAUUGCACCACUACCAGAUGGACCUGCGUUGUAUUAGCUAGUUGGUGGGGUAACGGCUCACCAAGGCGACGAUACAUAGCCGACCUGAGAGGGUGAUCGGCCACACUGGGACUGAGACACGGCCCAGACUCCUACGGGAGGCAGCAGUAGGGAAUCUUCGGCAAUGGACGGAAGUCUGACCGAGCAACGCCGCGGGAGGGAAGAAGGGUUUCGGAUCGUAAAGCUCUGUUGUAAGAGAAGAACGAGUGUGAGAGUGGAAAGUUCACACUGUGACGGUAUCUUACCAGAAAGGGACGGCUAACUACGUG